rnacentral:lncRNA from 1 species
UUUGUCCCCCUUUGUUCAGUCCACCAGGGUCUGUGGCAAAGUGGCAUCAUGAACAGGGACUUCAAGGACGUGAAUGAAGAAGGUCUGCUGGAGCAGAGGAAGUGAAGCUAACAAGAUGAACGAGGACCUAGGGACAAAUCUGCCAGCAGGGAGUAUAAGGAGAUGGACAAACCAUUUGGGUGUCCUCAAGGUGCAUGCAACCAUGGAACAGGAGACUGGAGGGAUCCAUGGCGGCCAACCAUGGGCCUGGUCCCUCCGGUAUGGGCCAUGAGCCAGCUGAGCCUGAGUGUGAAGAUGGAGAAAAGGCUGACCGGAGUCACGAGGACAUCAAACCCCAUAACCUGAGGGCAACUCAAGAAAACCACGCAGGAAGCUGAGAAAAUGCUGGAGCGUCAGGGCCAGGCAAAAACCCCUGAAUCCAUGUUCUUGGCCAUGUUAGCCAUAAUGUCCUGUGUGUCUAUAAAAUUGGAUGGACUGCCAAUCAGAAAAUGAGAGCUGCCCAACCUGGCCUUACAUUCAUUCAAUUAAUGCAAAAACAGAAAGGGGGAGAUAUUGGGAGCUGAAAACCUGAGGGUCAUGACCAACUCAGCAUUCCAUUGGAGGCUAUAUGAUCAAACAGCAAACUGUUUAUCAUGAAUGCAGGAUGUGGGCAAACUCACAUCUGUGCCUGCCACCAGAAGGUAGGCUGAGGGCAAUCACUCCCUGGCACUGUGCACCUUGAGGUUAUCUACUGGAAUAUCUGGAGCCUACUGUUCAAGGAAAGCAGACAUGCAGGCCUGCACUAAAUCAUGCAACUGGCUCAUGAUCACCUGCUCCUCCCUAUUUCCUUUACUCAAUAAAUACAAAGGGCUCUAGAAGCUCAGGGCCCUUGUUCACUAGAAGCAAGGAGCCCCCUGACCCCUUCUUUUAAAACAGAUCUUUUUAUCUUUGUCUUUAUUCCUGUGUUCAUCCUCCUUUGCUCAGUCCUCUGGGGUCUGUGGCAGAAGAUAAAAAACACUAUUACAUGAGAUUUUCCACCUUUUCAUUGUCUAUCCAUUUAUUCACAUUUUCAUUUAUUCUCAGAGAAGGAACUGUUUUAAUUCCUUUUAAACGUUUUUAUUUAGUGUUCUUUGUAAAGUUUUCUGUACUUUUCUUUCUAGAUUAUAUCCUUUUUUACUUUCUUUUCAAAAUACUUUCUAAAUAAAAUACCUACCAAUUCUAAA